rnacentral:rRNA from 1 species
GGGAUAAUACUGACGUUCAUGCUCGAAAGCGUGGGUAGCAAACAGGAUUAGAUACCCUGGUAGUCCACGGCCUAAACGAUGCCAAUUAGCUGUUGGGGCACUUGAUGCCUUAGUAGCGAAGCUAACGCGUGAAAUUGACCGCCUGGGGAGUACGGUCGCAAGAUUAAAACUCAAAGGAAUUGACGGGGACCCGCACAAGCGGUGGAUGAUGUGGAUUAAUUCGAUGCAACGCGAAGAACCUUACCUGGUCUUGACAUGUACGGAAUCUUCCAGAGACGGAAGAGUGCCUUCGGGAGUCGUAACACAGGUGCUGCAUGGCUGUCGUCAGCUCGUGUCGUGAGAUGUUGGGUUAAGUCCCGCAACGAGCGCAACCCUUGUCAUUAGUUGCCACCAUUUAGUUGGGCACUCUAAUGAGACUGCCGGUGACAAACCGGAGGAAGGUGGGGAUGACGUCAAGUCCUCAUGGCCCUUAUGACCAGGGCUUCACACGUCAUACAAUGGUCGGUACAGAGGGUAGCCAAGCCGCGAGGUGGAGCCAAUCUCAGAAAACCGAUCGUAGUCCGGAUUGCACUCUGCAACUCGAGUGCAUGAAGUCGGGAUCGCUAGUAAUCGCAGGUCAGCAUACUGCGGUGAAUACGUUCCCGGGUCUUGUACACANCGCCCGUCACACCAUGGGAGUGGGGGAUACCAGA